rnacentral:tRNA from 1 species
GUGGCUCAGUGGUAGAGCACUUGCCUGGCGUGUAUGAGGCACUGGGUUCGAUUCUCAGC